ensembl:lncRNA
GACCAUUAUAAAGGAGGUGUCAUUGCGGUUCCUGUUUCCAGUGGGAACUUCAGAGGAAAAACUAAAACCGAAAGUGUUUACUUCCAAAUAAACUGGGAUAAUUUAGCAAUAUGUGAGCACUCUAUAAACAGUGUGCGGUGUGUUUUUCAUUAAACGUGUCACAAGAUGUGAAUCAUGACAAACAGUGCCAGUAUAUCAGCUGACUAACAUAAACAAACGGGACGGCGAAAGCGCAUUCAGUCUUCUGACUCACAUGGGCUUGUGGGAAUCGAGUUAUGCUGAAAAUCCCCUUUUCUCAACACGAGCGUCUCUCUCUCUCUCUCUCUCUCUCUCUCUCUCGGUUUCUGGCUCAUGUUAGAUCCUGUCUGCUUCAGCAACGUCUGAAACCCCACCUCCUCCUGUCUCUCUCUCUCUCUCCCUCUCACCACUUCGUCUCAGGCGGCGUGGAAUCCUGACUGUGUUUAAUUGCUGAGUGGUAAGAUCUGAGGGAAAGAUCGGGAGCCGCUGCGUCUGUCAACGCUUUACGGGCCCCAACCCCGGGAGAGAGAGACAGGGAAGGUGUAGGAAGGAAGUGUUUGGAGUUUGGGAACGGGUGAGUUGGGGAAUUCUUACGCAGUGGGGAGGUGAAGAAAGAGGUGAAACGCUGAAGUAAGACUUCAGAGUUGGAGGAAAAAAAGAGGGAGGGAAAGAAAAGAGGCCCACCGUUGGAGAAAGGGCAACAAGAGGGAAAAGUGGGAAAACAAAAGUAAGUUAGAAAAAGGAGGAAGGAAGGAAGGGGGAGGUGAGCGAAAAGUUAGAGAGGGAGAGAGAGAAAGAGAGUCAAACGCAGUGAACGAGAGGAGACGCAGAUGAGAAAAACAGACGCUGUGGAUGGCCUGGGUGGAGAGAGAACCAGUUGUUUUCUAAGUCGCCUUUCAGACUGGAAUGCACUCAGAGAAUUUGAGAUUCCCGACGCCUUAUUGCCAACUUUGCUUGCGACGCGCGCCGGGACCCGCCGACGGAUCAUGCCUGCAUAUGGAGUCCAGCAUAGCCCCGUUCCCGAAGGAGUUGGGGUUGGAGCGUGCAGAGAGGACUGCAGCAUCCCCAGCGUGGCAGGUUUACACCGAGGAGAUCCGGCAUCCGUUCUACAGGUGGGACUCGCCGUGCGUUCGAGAGAUCCGGCAGGAGUGCGGAUGUGUCCAGCGGUGGUAUUACCCAGAGAUGUUGCAUCCCUUCAACGGCGACCAUGUUUUGAAGGUCAGACGUCACCGGUGCCACCCAUCCUACAUCCAGGAGUGGGACAACGUUCAUCAGUCUGAAUACAAUGGACACUGCGAGAGGAGACGAGUGUCGUUCCGGCAUCACGAGGAACGACCUGAGACUGGCGGACAAUUACACUGUAACGGGCCGAACUCUGGACAGGCGACUUUUUUCCCAACCGAGGUGCCCUCCAGCAAGUUGGGAUGCUCCAGGGCACUCGGGAACGGGCUGCAGGUGAACGGACCGCAGCGGGAAGUAAGGACGCCUCGGGGGGACGAGGGUCUGGAGAAACAUGGCAAGCAGAGGAAGAGCCAGGGAACAGUACGGGAACAGAUCAAACAUGUGGUCACGGAGCUCGAGGAAGUGCUGGGUGGUCUCAAACAGGUCCAGUUGGAGAUGAAAGAGGUUGUCCAAAAGAUCGACAUUCUAACGUCCAAUAUUGACCUUGGAGAAGACGAACCAAGUCUAUCCAAAGGACUCUUCCAAGAUGCCACCAAAAGCAGUCGAUCCAGUGUUGUUGCAUUGAUCCACAAUUCAAACGGCGACGAGGACAUGUCAACUUCCAAUUCCUCUCUCGAACACAGCCCUGUCACUGUGGAUUUAAUUCACAUUAACGGUCCUUUGCCGAUGAGAAACCACACAAGCCCAUCACCUCCUGAGCAACGAUCCGUUACUGUUCAGGAUACAGGCAAACGAGUUGUGAAACAGAGCUCAGAGACUCAAAGGACGGCAAAUGGAAACUGUCUACUGCAUCAAACAGCAAGGAAAGCCCAAUUGGAAAACCACAGACCCCCUGUAGCUCCAGUAGUGUGCACUAACUCCAAUAAAACCCACCGGCCUCCACCUUACCCCCAGAACGGACAGGUGAAGAUGAGGACCCCUCCCUAUCCAGGAAAACAUAAGACGCUCUCCUCCACCAUAGUGGACUGAUGCCACACAACCCAGCUGACUCACACCGGAGGACGGAGAAUCCCGGGCCGAGGGGCAGUGACUAUAUUUCCCAUGGAAAACUCCAGAAACAUCUCAAAGCCCUCUUUCUCUCUCACACCCCUGCUGAAAAAAAAGCUAGUUUGGACCAACUUAAAGUCACCAUGAAAUGGCAUUCGCAGCUCAGAUUUACUUACUUCAUGUGGUUGGAGGGGCUGGGUCAAAAAGCAAGAGGGAUUUGUGAUGUCAGCUGAAAAGGAAAGUCGUUUCAGAGACGGAGCAAGUUGUUACAUUUUGUUGAAAGAUUAUGAAAACAAGCAUUUUUAAAAAUAAGAAACAAACAGGAAAGCAAAUGGGUCAGUUUUAAGUUCAUGUUGUUUUAAAGACACCAUGGAAUCCGUUUUUUUAUUUUUUGCAAAUAUAUGCAUUUAAAAUGCAUGGCGUUUCCCUCUAGGCAAUCAGUCCAAAAAUAUGGACUAUGCAUAGACUAGACCAGUGGUUCUCAAUUCUGGUCAAUAGCAACUGCAUGGCAACAAUCUAAAAAGCCAGACACAACAUAACACCUUAGCAACUGCAAAGCAACAUUCUAAAAAGCCACUCACAACAUAACACUUUAGUAACUGUAUAACAACACCUCAGCAACUGCAUAGCAACAUUCUAAAAAGCCACUCACAACACCUUAGAAACUGCAUAGCAACAUUCUGAAAAGCCACUCACAGCACCUUAGCAACUGCAAAGCAAAACAAACUGUAAUUUAAAAGUGCUAAACUGAGUGAUAAAUGUCUGUUUGAGAUAUUUAAUAUGAAAACAAACAAAACUGCUCAUAUUAUUUUCCUCAUCCAAAAUGUUAGUAGGAAGUGACUGGAAUUUUUUUAUUUUGAAAGCCUUCUCUUGGCUUUUGUCAGCUGAGUGCAGUUUUUCAUGGCUGUGACAUUAACUAAAGACUAUUGGGUAUUUUAAAAAGGCACCAGUCUCUCAUUAUGUCCCGCCCCAACUUCCUGUUUCAAUAGGAAAUAUGUCAACACAGGAAAGAAAUCUGAGCUCAUCAAACCAUUUCAUGGGACUUUAACUGGUUUAGAUGGACACAGUGCUGGUGUGUCACAGGCACAAGCGGGUUAAACUGGUUGUUUUUGAAGGCAGACCAGUGUAUUAUCGUGAAAGGUCCCAAAACAUGCUGGUUACUUAGUCUGACUGAACUAGUUUAGCUGGUCAAGGGUCAGUUUUGGGUCAUUUCAGCAGGGCCUCUCUCUCUCUCAAGCUGCUCUGUGUAAACCUUUUGGAACGAGCUGCCCUUCUUAACUACCCUGUGACCUGAUAUCUGCGUGUUUCUCCUUUAAAAGGAACACAACCAAGGAAUAAGCUGCUUUAGGUUGGAAAUUUAUGACUUUAUAAUAGGGCCUUGAGCUCUCAGAUAUAUGCAAACUAACGCCAGUGCUCAUGUAGAUCUGAAAGACUGUGACUACCCAGCUAACGAAAAUAUGUUCUAAGAACGUUUUGCUAACCAGUGUUGGGGAAAGUUACUUUUGAAAGUAAUGCAUAACAAUCAUGCCUUGCCAUAACUACAUUCUUAGUUACUUUUUAUGGAAAGUAAAGCAUUUUGUUACUUUUGUGUUACUUUUUGUCACCUGGGCUGGGCUUUCUUAAUUUGAUAUAGGNNNNNNNNNNNNNNNNNNNNNNNNNNNNNNNNNNNNNNNNNNNNNNNNNNNNNNNNNNNNNNNNNNNNNNNNNNNNGUUAGGCAACUGUAAGGGCCUAUAUGUAUUUGAAAAUGUAACACCAAUAUUUAAUUGUAAAUUUAAAAGUAAUGCAUUACUUUACUAGUUACUUGAAAAGGUAAUCCGAUUACUUGUAAUGUAUUACCCCAGCACUAUUGCUAACGUUCCCAUUAAGUACUGAAACCGUUAUUGCUGAAUGUUCUCUGAACAUUUUUUAACGUUACUGGACAAACAUUUGUUCAUAACCUUCCUUGUUAGCUGGGUAGACAAUUGAAAUGCCUAAAAAGAGGAAGUGUUUUCUGAAUAUUGUUAUUAUUGCUAUUAUUAUUCAGACCAAAGAUUAAAAUGAUUUUUUUGUUCAGGGAGGCUGAAGGAUCUAGAAUUAUGUUAAGCUUAAGCUAAUAAACAUUAACAUUGCCUCA